UGGCGUUCCGUACAACUAUGCUAUUCACCAUACUAUCACUACUUUGAUUAAUUGUCAUUUGAACUGCACGACGUUUGUUAAAUUCUAUACUUACUUGGACUAGUGAUUUUUCCAGCAUACUGUUGUAGAAAUGAAAUGCCUACGUUAUCCUAGAAACGUGCCUGUUAUUUUCUGUAUUCAGUUUACAAAUGAAUCUAUUCCUACCUUACUAACCCUACUCCAACUUUAUGUAAGGUCAUGGUCAUGGUAAGGGGUUUCUCAGAUUUGGGAUGAGUUUGUCAAUCAAAUUCUAUUAUAAUGUGAACUGCAGCUACGAUUUUUGGAGAAAUUUCCUUUGUACUUGUCUCAUUCAAAAAUUGUGUUAACUGUUGAAAAGCAGGAUGACUGCAGAUAAGCUGUUGGCAUUUUGACAUUGUCUACACUGCUGGCUUGUCUUUCUGGCAACAAGGCUGCAUCCCCCGGUGGAUGAUUCAUGGUUGAUCUUCCACUGCGCAGCAGAAGUAUUUGACACCUGCCCAGUUAGUCAUGGUUCUGCAGAUUGGUGAUAUACUGUGUAUUGAUGAUGCUGGUUUAGGAUUACUACGACAAAGGAUACAAGAUUAUGAUUUCAAUUUGGAAUUGCAAUUAUUCUGGGAAACAUGUCUUCUGUAAACAUCUGUUUUACUUGCUGGGUUUUAAAGUAUUUUUGUUAUUGUAUUUCAAGUUGGCAUAAGGAGGAAUCCUAUAAUAAAGCUGCUUGUGUUUUUUGUUCUGUUUUUGGUAAAUGUUGAAGGUUUGACAGAUGUUAAUGUGUGUGCUGAUGACAUUUAGGACCCCAAACUAUGUACGUACAUGAAAUUGCGAAACAUACUGUCGCGCCAUCUGGAAUCAUAUCCAAAAAUACCAAUAAAAAUACACAUAAAUUAAUUAAAAAAUUCACCCAAAAAUAAAAAUCUAAUGAAAAUAAAAGGAAUUAUACUGCGUGGAUUAAACUAAGAAACAAACAAUAAAUAAUUGUUGAAAUACGAAGUGGCGGCAGCGCCUUGGCCCAAGAAUAGAAAAAAAGGAAAAAGCUGAAAAUGAGAUAAGGUACCGUAAUAUACUAGCGCGCCAGAACAUUGAACGAAUGAACUGGCGGCGCCAGCUGAGACUACUUCCAAACGGCAGAAAUGCAAACUAUCGAAGUCCUCAAUUCCUCAUCGCGUGGUAGAAAAAAAAGCCUGCAUCUGCCGCCUGUCAGGCAUUCGAAGAUAGUUAACAUAAGGACUCUCAAUGCCUAGUUUUUUCAUUUGAAUUUAGUUUCUCUUCGAUAGUGCUUUCAGGAUGUCUGUGGAUAACUGGGUUGGCAUUUAGACAAGCCUAUGCUAUUGGCUCGUCCUUCAGUCUGUGAGGUUACAUUCUGGUCUGGUGAAUGAUUCAUGAUGGGUUGAUCCUCCAUUGCACGGGCAGUUGCAUGUGCCACCUGAUCAGUAAUUCAUGGUGCUGGCUUGAUGGUGUUUUAAGGGGACUGGUUUGGAAACACGUUGGAUCACUUCACUACCAAUCAGACUGGUGUCAUGCUGUCUAUUGAAAGCUGUGCCUUCUAUAUAUUAAAGGUAGGCUGAAAGAGGCACCUGGUAAUAAAACAACAGUUUUUCAUCAGGUUUGUGGUGAAUUGGUGAAGCUGUAGUAGACUACCAAUUGAGGCUGCAGGGAUAAGAAAUGCUGUGUUCAUCCUAAUUCUGCAGGCUCAAGAGGUGCUCUUAUAUCAGCAGUUGAUGGUCGUUAUUAACGCGGCGCUAACAUGUUCGACGUCUUUUACCGUGGAAUUACGACUUCCGCUGGGCUUGUGUUUUGAUCCUUGGUAACAUUUGCAGUUCGUUGCUGUGGGUUUGCCGUUGAAAGAUUCUGUCAGCAAUUGAUUGUCUAAUUGGGACGAUACUGCCGCGGCGCUGACAUAAGCAAUGUCUUCUACUUUGGGAUUAUGGGUGUUUUGGGGUGGCCGGUUAUCCAGCUGAAAAUAUUUUUCGCCUCUUCGCUGGCGCUACCGUUACAUACUAUGUUUAGAAUUGGUUAGUGAAUUCCAAUGGAUGAUUCAGUUUUGUGGUAAUCAGGUGAGAUAGUAAUUUAUUUAUGGUUUAUUUGUUGUAGUAUUUGAGACAGAUGAUAUUAUAAAUAAAAGCUCUUAUGAGAAAAAAAAAA
rnacentral:lncRNA from 1 species